AAUCCGUUAACGUAGUGGUUAGCGCGCUUAUUUAGCGUUUUUUAUAUGGCAGGCUUAAGGUGUGCUGUAUAGAAAAACUUUAGUAAGAGGUCGUGGGUUUAAAUCCUACACGGGUCA